AUAGCAGACUUAAGACAGAGUGAGGCUAUCAAAAACAGCCAACCAUCUUUCAAAACAAAAAAAGUCCUGCUGAGAGAAACUGGGAAGGAGAAGCUCCCGCGGUAGUAAAAGAACAUUGGUCUGGGCUUCAAGACACCCAAAAAGGACACUGAGGGCACCUAGACUGACAAGAAAUUUCCCUUCACUGGUAACAUCUCCAUUUGAGAGAGGAUUCUGUUUGGCAUGGUGAACAAAAUGAAGAGUCAGAGAACCAUUGUCAUCUGCCCAGACUGUGUGCACUACAUGUCCAAGUAUAAUUGUGUUGAGAAGUGCCAUGAGAAUAUGCCUGUGUACCUAUUCUCCCACUCAGGGACAUCCAGAUCGGUGACAUUGUCACAGUGGGUGAGUACCAGCCCCUGAGCAAGACUGUACACUUCAACAUGCUCAAGGUCACCAAAGUGUCCAACACCAAGAAACAAUUUCAGAAGUUCUGA
rnacentral:lncRNA from 1 species